AUACGGAAGGUGCAAGCGUUGUCCGGAUUUAUUGGGUUUAAAGGGUGCGCAGGCGGUGCGUUAAGUCAGUGGUGAAAUCUUCCGGCUCAACCGGGAAACUGCCAUUGAUACUGGCGCACUUGAGUACGGACGAGGUAGGCGGAAUUUAUGGUGUAGCGGUGAAAUGCAUAGAUACCAUAAAGAACACCGAUAGCGAAGGCAGCUUACCAGACCGUAACUGACGCUCAGGCACGAAAGCGUGGGGAGCAAACAGGAUUAGAUACCCCAGUAGUCC
rnacentral:rRNA from 1 species